rnacentral:rRNA from 1 species
ACGGGAGGCAGCAGUGGGGAAUAUUGCACAAUGGGCGCAAGCCUGAUGCAGCGAUGCCGCGUGAGGGAAGAAGGUUUUCGGAUUGUAAACCUCUGUCAACAGGGACGAAAAUGACGGUACCUGUGAAGGAAGCUCCGGCUAACUACGUGCCAGCAGCCGCGGUAAUACGUAGGGAGCAAGCGUUAUCCGGAUUUACUGGGUGUAAAGGGCGCGUAGGCGGGGAUGCAAGUCAGAUGUGAAAUCUAUGGGCUUAACUCAUAAACUGCAUUUGAAACUGUAUCUCUUGAGUGCUGGAGAGGUAGAUGGAAUUCCUUGUGUAGCGGUGAAAUGCGUAGAUAUAAGGAAGAACACCAGUGGCGAAGGCGAUCUACUGGACAGUAACUGACGCUGAGGCGCGAAAGCGUGGGGAGCAAACAGGAUUAGAUACCCUGGUA